UACGGAGGGUGCGAGCGUUGUCCGGAAUCACUGGGCGUAAAGGGCGCGUAGGCGGCCUGAUAAGUAGGGGGUGAAAUCCUGCGGCUUAACCGCAGGGCUGCCUUCUAAACUGUCAGGCUAGAGCACAGUAGAGGCAGGUGGAAUUCCCGGUGUAGCGGCGGAAUGCGUAGAGAUCGGGAAGAACAUCAGUGGCGAAGGCGGCCUGCUGGGCUGUUGCUGACGCUGAGGCGCGACAGCGUGGGGGAGCAAACAGG
rnacentral:rRNA from 1 species